UACAGAGGGUGCGAGCGUUGUCCGGAAUCACUGGGCGUAAAGGGCGCGUAGGUGGCUUGUUAAGCGUGUGGUGAAAGCCCGGGGCUCAACCCCGGGUCUGCCGUGCGUACUGGCGAGCUUGAGCAUAGUAGAGGCAGGUGGAAUUCCGGGUGUAGCGGUGGAAUGCGUAGAUAUCCGGAAGAACACCGGUGGCGAAGGCGGCCUGCUGGGCUAUUGCUGACACUGAGGCGCGACAGCGUGGGGAGCAAACAGG
rnacentral:rRNA from 1 species